rnacentral:sRNA from 1 species
UUCAAGAUGUAGAGUAUUAAUUACUAAUCAACUACAAGCCUGGUAAACAGACAGGCCAGGUAAAUAUGAAUGAAGAACUGAAACUAGAGGUAAACAUCAUGGGAGUCUAAUUGUAGGGCAAGUAUUUUUCAUUCAUAUCUUAUUUAACAUAGUCAAACCAUGCAAUACUUAUAGGCUUAACUAUUGUUUUCAUAGAAACAAUGUUAUUUUAAAUAUCAUGAGAUUGUGUAUUUAAGAGAUAUUCCUGUUCAAGUUUCCAUGUUGCACCAGCUUAACAAGUGCACAUUCUCUGCUGCCAACAGUACCAAUUUGUCAUCCAAGCAACAAAUAUUCUUUGGUAAUCUUCUAUCAGAUGACGACAGUUUUCUCUUUGGCAUUUUUAUGAGUUAAAGCUUUCAAGGCAAAAGGCAUCAGCUAUCAGCAGUGAUAUACAAGUCUUCAUUGCCAAACAGUGACCCGCUUUACUGUUCUUCAAUGUCAAGAGUCUGGAAAUGUCAGCCCAAGGAGAUCAAGUUUGUGUCCAAGGUUACUUAGGUAAUUCUCUAAGAACAAUAGGUGAGUUGAAUUCUAGUGUACCAGUCAAAUAUCUUAUAGCAAAGU